rnacentral:rRNA from 1 species
GGAUGGGAUGGAGGCAACCCUGAUCCAGCCAUGCCGCGUGAGUGAAGAAGGCCUUCGGGUUGUAAAGCUCUUUCGGCGGGGACGAUGAUGACGGUACCCGCAGAAUAAGCCCCGGCUAACUUCGUGCCAGCAGCCGCGGUAAGACGAAGGGGGCUAGCGUUGUUCGGAAUUACUGGGCGUAAAGCGAGUGUAGGUGGUUUUCCAAGUUGGAUGUGGAAGCCUUGAGCUCAACUCAAGAAAUGCAUUCAGG